ACUAUUUAUUACCCUUGUCUUUUGCGCACUUGUUGUUUCCUGGGCGGGUUCGCUCGCCACCAGGACCACAAUAUAAACCUAUUUUUAUGCAGUUGCAAUCAGCGUCAGUAUAACAAAUGUAAAUCAUUUACAACUUUCAACAACGGAUCUCUUGGUUCUGGCAUCGAUGAAGAACGCAGCGAAAUGCGAUACGUAGUGUGAAUUGCAGAAUUCAGUGAAUCAUCGAAUCUUUGAACGCACAUUGCGCUCCUUGGUAUUCCGAGGAGCAUGCCUGUUUGAGUGUCAUUAAAUUCUCAAUCUUACCAGCUUUUGUUGGAAAAGACUUGGAUGUGGGGGGGAAAAUUUUUGAAGGUUUCUCGCGGAACCUUCUCCCCUGAAAUGCAUUAGCUGGACGCUCGCGCGGACAGUCUAUUGGUGUGAUAAUUAUCUACGCCAUUAUCUGACUGCCAUUAUUAUCGCCGCUGCUAACUGUCUGCGGACAAUAUAUGACAGGUGGACCUCAGAUCAGGUAGGAGAACCCGCUGAGCUUAAGCAUAUCAGUAAACGGAGGA
rnacentral:rRNA from 1 species